GUCGACGUUUUCGGUGUAUAGAGUCGCGUGAAACAAAGGCCGUCCCUCAGAAUCAAACGUGACAGUAGAAACAGGGGUGAUAAAUUUCAACAGCAAUGGUGGUAACCGGUGAUGAUGAUGAUGCUCGAUAAUGAGAAAGAAAAUUGAUUCACAGUAAUAACAAUCUCAAGUAAGGUCACAGAGAGUAUGCAACUUAACAACUACAUCCACAUAAACAUAAUGCCAUAGGCUAUUAAAACGUUACCUCUCCGGCGAUGAACUAGAACGGAGGUACCCUUGAGGAGCUGAGUUUCCUCUUUCGCUUGCCUUUUCUCUUUUCUUUUUUUUCUUUUCCCAAUUGCCUCUCUCUGCCCUGAUGAUUCAAAAAAAAUCCUCUCCCAAUCCCUUCCUGUAACCGUUUUUUCAAAACCCCCCAAAACCCUUUGCCAGCUCACCCUCUCGCUCCCUCACAUCCAACNCACACAAAAUAAUUUUUUCACACGUUUUUUUUU
rnacentral:lncRNA from 1 species